AUGUCAAAACACGCUCAGGGCUCCAGCAAGCCCAGCCCCACAGAAGAGACCCCAGAGGGGUCCUUCUCCACCCAGAGCGACCUCCCGGCCAUAGGGCAGAUCCUGAUGGGAAUUCAGGCCCUUUCCCCGUCCCCUUUUCUCUCCUGAGGCCUGAGCGGCUCUCCCAUGUUGGCCCCACUCACAACACAGAGCAGGAGCUUUGGCAGCUCAAGCAGGAGAUGGGUGGAAGAGUUUGAGGCAACUUAGUUGGCUCCUACUCACACUGGGAGGGGGGAGAACAGUGUCCGGAUCGCCUCUUCCCCUGACGGGCUUCUGCAGAUGUGAGCCGUGGAUUCUUCUGGCAAAAGGGUCAUUUUUGAACAAAUCUUUACGAAGUUCCACAUCUCAGCCUCGUGGCCUGUCAAUGUAAAGCCAAGACUUCAAUGGCCGGGAAAUGCAGGAAGAAAAAGAACUGCUUCACGUUGGUUUUCCUCGGGAUUAAGAAGGCGGCUGAAUGAAAGGAACCGUGUCCUACGCUUUGUGUCUCUCUGACCACUGCAAGCAAACCCCACCCCAUAUCUCCCCUCAUUCCACAAGGAGCAAAACCCAGUCUGCAGAUUUUGUGCCACGCGUCACACUUCGAAUUUUGAUCAGAGCAGACCUGUCCCUAGUGUUAUACCUGGGCUACAGGUCCAUCUCUUCCUUAUCUAACUGUGAAUUUUGCUCAGAGCAGAGCGGUCCCUAGUUUUACACCUGGGCUACAGGCCCGUGUAUUCCUUAUUGAACUGUGAAUUUUGCUCACAGCAGAGCGCUCCCUAGUUUUAUACCUGGCCAACAGGCCCAUCUAUUCCUUAUUGAAUAACUGCGAUGUUAUGUUUUGUGAAGCGAUAGCAAUUUUUUUAACAGAGCCGAUGGAGCUAAUGAAAUAGUGUUGCAUUUAUGGGUCAUGUACUACUUGAAAUCUUUUUGUGUUGUUUCUAUAUUAUUUGUAUUUUAUAUAGAUUUUAUCUGUAAGUUUCAGUAUGCCGAUAAAGGUUUUGAAGCGGG